CCAAGGUUUCAUAUAAAAAGUAAACGUCACUAUCUUGAAUGAGAAAUUGUCCACAAUGUACAGUUUCAACAGGAGAUUGUUAUUCGAUACGUAGUUGGUCAUUACUGAAUCGUAAUACGAGAAGGCGAUAAAGAAAAUAUUGCUCCUGUGAAGAGAGAAUCAUCUGUAAUAAGAAUUGCAAUGUGGUUGAUACUCUACACUUAGCUGCCACUGGGUCAAAUUGCUUGGCCAUGAGAGUGCAAUUACCGUUCUGCUACAUUCUCCGAUUUCCAUAGAUAUGUACUGUGUACAUUGAACAUCAAACUUAUCGGUCAUCGUAAUACAAAGCAUUUCUAGAACCUUCACAUCGUAAAAGUAUUACAAAUUACUUAUAAUCAAAAGCAUUAAACGAAAGUUAACUACAAAUGAUCUGUGAUCAAAAAUAUUAAACAAAAUUAUCCUGUUAAAAAAUUCCAGUAUUCUAUACGUAUAACAAUUCACUAGAUGAAAUAUAUCAGGAUGCUCUGGAUAUUUUUCAAGGAUAUCCUUCAGUCUUCAUUAGCUGCUCUACAGAUCAGACUUCUUCGAAGAUCGAGACCAGAAUAUCAAGUUCUUGUUACACGGUGAAAAUUUUGUGAACGAACAGAAACUGGGCAAAAGAAGAUACUGCACUUCCAGAUCGAGAAUGCAAUAUGAAAUGGUUGCUGGGCGAAACGAAUAUGUCGAGACGGGCGGGAAAUGCUACGAGAAAAUUGGAUCUGUAGAUCGAGCGUCCAAUACGAAACUUGUAGAAAAAAAGAUAAUGAAAAUUUCAGAUAUAGAUGUAACUAGAUAAAAAAAAAUAUCAGCAUAUCUUUAUAUUAUCUGAUGUUGCAGAACAAUGGCUACCGCCAGAACUAUUUUUUGAUUACUGUAACCAGGUUAAAUUUGAAAGGAAAUUUACAUUCACUAUUUUUCUCCAGCCGACUAAUUUUAGAUCUUGUUUAUCUAAUUCAAGUUUCUAUUAAAAUCCCUUACUCCCUUUAGACCCUUAACCUCCACGUCAAACUUUCUAACCUAAAAUGCAAAUAUACGAUAUGUAUGUUCCUUUAUAAAUUGCAAUAUAAAAAUACAUAUUUAGAAAGCCUAAAAUACAAAUAGGUAUAGCUUUACAUAAAAAGUAAAUAAGCGACUAUCUACCAUCUAAUAGGAACCAAUUUAGGCCAUAAACAGGCAAAGUAACGAGGAUAUACCAUUUCGCCGGUACUGGGCAGGUUUUUGCGUCCGGUCUGCCGCGAAAAUUAUGCCGAGACCGAAGUGCGUGAGACGAACCGUUAUACACGGUGAGCCCGUAAAAUUGUUAUUCAAAUGUUUCAGCUGGCGGACAGUGUACCCCAUGGAUUACGUGAAUAUACCGGCUGAGUCCACGUUGAGGGUAAGAUGCUAGGGGGGAACGGAUGUUUUCGCUCGAGUGCCCGACCGGCAUUGUACCGCCGCUUAUGGCACGAUAACAGUUUCCUUCGGCAAUAACGAUUUCAGUAUCAGGAUGACAAGACACGCGAGCAUUAUGAACACUCUUGUUACUCGAAUUCGGUCGUGAAGCUGAGAAAAAAUCAUGGAUAGAUAACGAAUCAAGAAUUCUUCGCAUUUCUAGCAUUUUUCUCAUAUGAUAAAGACACAAGGAUGACAGCUGCAGGAUAUAAAUUACGUACAGAAUUUUCCAAUCUUCUCGGGGCAAUUAUCUGAAACGUUUUAGAGAAGUGGUUAAAUAAUAAAGUCAUACCGACCGAGGUAUUACACAGAUAAUAGAGACAGACUGUCGUGCUUGGUUGUUCUUUCGAAGAUAAGAUCACCCUCCUUGCGUCGAAUGAAAGUUAUGUAAAACGCGUUGUUGGUGAGAAACUCGUCAGAAACUCAGAUUAGCCAACGGUGAACAGAUUGAAUAAUUUAACAGAUCAGUGUCCGUGUCCAGUACACGGUCGUGUUGAAAAACUACGUGAAACCGUAGAGUACAUAAUAGCCUCUGUACCUGGAAGCUUCGGUUUAAAGUACAAUGUAUAAAAGACUGCAGAAACCACUAAAUGCACGGAAAGGAGUUCAAGCGUUUAAUUACCACUCGGUAAUGCAUUUGCUGUCGUAUAAGCAACAUAAUAGCUAUAUGCUCGGUAGAGCAAAUAUAACACGUUGUGAGAAAAAAAAAUCGAAGAUACGUAGUAGGAAGAGAAAACGAUGGUAUCCUUGAAUGGAGAGUGUUAACAGUUCAGGGAUGAAGGUAAAAUCCGAUCCAUUAACCGUGACGCUUUAUCUAACAGAAAGUGGUUCCGAUGGUUAGAAGCCAUGUGGUGGUUGUUGGCUAAAGUCGAAUAGUUUAAUGAAGCUGACCACCUUCAUAGCCGCAAAGUAUUUCCCAGACUUGUUGCGUUUAAUUUUAGAGUAAUUAAUUUUAUAGAAUAAUAGUAUAUAAACAUAUAUACUCCUGUCAUUUCACUAAAAAUUUUAAUCACACAAGUUUUCAUUGCCUAUCUGUCUCAAUAAGACUAUACUGAAAUAUUUUACUAGUAACUAUCACAUUAAUUUUCCAUAUAUGUAAUCAAAAGACUCUUAGUGGUUCUUUAGACAACAUCACAAAUGUUCCUCCAUUUAUAGUAUGUAUUUAUAUUUUUAUAGAAUUUUUUCAUUAAAGCUACGUAGUAAUACUUUACUAAUAAUUAUAACACAGAUUUUUCCUACACUUGUAGACAUAAUUUACCUCUCUCUCAUAUGAACGUGAUGGUUGCCAUUCAAAGAUUGGAUGACCAUUCUGAGGCGUUGAUUAGUAAUAAGAUCCAAUUCAAUUAAAAACUCCAAAAUUAAAUACUUUAAGCCUAAAUUAUCACGGUGCCCAAUAACCCAAUGAUACCUGCCAGUUAACAGUUAGAUAUCAAAGAGUAUCCUAAUACUUUUAACUAUAUGUAUAGUAGAUGUAUAUCAUUCAAGAACUACUGGAAGAACUUACCAGAGAUAUGAUAUGUCCUCCAGCCAUAAGCGACGUUUAGUUCCUUCUUUCCUUGAAGAAGGCCAAAGUGAACUCUGCCAGCACUUUCUUGAGGAUUUGGAGUUCUUAAGGG